rnacentral:lncRNA from 1 species
UUCCCUAAUUCUCUUCUCUGUGCAGUGUGCACUUCUCUACUUCUCUUCCCCUCACCCUUGUCAUACGCCCUAACCCAAACCAAAAAUGGGAAGAAAUCUCUUCUCCUUUAUUCAUAACUCAACUCUUAGCCUCUCACUCUCAUUGUCACAACUCAAACCCAAAAAACGCGAAGAAACCUCACAGGCUCACAUUCACACCGUCACAACUCAC